rnacentral:rRNA from 1 species
CCUACGGGAGGCAGCAGUGGGGAAUAUUGGUCAAUGGGCGCAAGCCUGACCCAGCAACGCCGCGUGAAGGAAGAAGGCUUUCGGGUUGUAAACUUCUUUUUACAGGGAAGAGUAGAAGACGGUACCUGUCGAAUAGCCCACGGCUAACUACGUACCAGCAGCCGCGGUCAUACGUGGGUGGCAAGCGUUGUCCGGAUUUACUGGGUGUAAAGGACGUGUAGGCGGGUUGACAAGUCAGAGGUGAAAUCCUGCGGCUUAACCGCAGAACAGCAUUUGAAACUGUUGAUCUUGAGUACGGGAGAGGCAGACGGAAUGCCCAGUGUAGCGGUGAAAUGCGUAGAUAUUAGGCGGAACCCCAGUGGCGAAGGCGGUCUGCUGGACAGAAACUGACGGUGAGGCGCGAAAGCGUGGGGAGCAAACAGGAUUAGAUACCCCAGUAGUC